CGGAGGAAGGUGGGGACGACGUCAAGUCAUCAUGGCCCUUACGUGUAGGGCUACACACGUGCUACAAUGGCGCAUACAGAGUGCUGCGAACUCGCGAGAGUAAGCGAAUCACUUAAAGUGCGUCGUAGUCCGGAUUGGAGUCUGCAACUCGACUCCAUGAAGUCGGAAUCGCUAGUAAUCGCAUAUCAGAAUGAUGCGGUGAAUACGUUCCCGGGCCUUGUACACACCGCCCGUCACACCAUGGGAGUGGGUUGCUCCAGAAAGUAGAUAGUCUAACCCUCGGGAGGACCAUACCAUCGACGCCUCC
rnacentral:rRNA from 1 species